AAAAAAAGAAAAAAAAAAAAAGAAAGAAACCAAACCAUUGGCGAAGGUUGGCAUUGAAUUCGAGCAUUAACUCAGUAUUCGCUAUGCAAUUUGACGUAACCGCCUAUUUGGAAAGUUGAUUGAUGAAAAUUGACUUGAUUAUCAAUUACUGCAUCAUGGCAGAGUCGGUCGCAUGCAACUUUAUAAACACUCCCGUAUAUGAAGCAAUAGCUUCCUGGAUAGAAACGGCCUCUCUACCGAUUGUUUUGUUGGGUAAGUGGCAAUUUUGCAAUCCU